UGGAGAAUAUUGGACAAUGGGGGCAACCCUGAUCCAGCCAUGCCGCGUGAGUGAUGAAGGCCUUCGGGUUGUAAAGCUCUUUUGGCGGGGGACGAUGAUGACGGUACCCGCAGAAUAAGCCCCGGCUAACUUCGUGCCAGCAGCCGCGGUAAGACGAAGGGGGCUAGCGUUGUUCGGAAUUACUGGGCGUAAAGCGAGUGUAGGCGGUUGCCGUAGUCAGGUGUGAAAGCCUUGAGCUCAACUCAAGAAAUGCACUUGAUACUGGGUGACUAGAGGACCGGAGAGGAUAGUGGAAUUCCCGAGUGUAGUGGUGAAAUACGUAGAGAUUGGGAAGAACACCAGUGGCGAAGGCGGCUAUCUGGACGGUUACUGACGCUAAGACCCGAAAGCGUGGGGAGCAAACAGGAUUAG
rnacentral:rRNA from 1 species